rnacentral:rRNA from 1 species
AUUGAACGCUGGCGGCAGGCCUAACACAUGCAAGUCGAGCGAGCGGCGGACGGGUGAGUAAUGUCUGGGAAACUGCCUGAUGGAGGGGGAUAACUACUGGAAACGGUAGCUAAUACCGCAUACCAUCAUAUGUGCCCAGGUGGGAUUAGCUAGUAGGUGGGGUAACGGCUCACCUAGGCGACGAUCCCUAGCUGGUCUGAGAGGAUGACCAGCCACACUGGAACUGAGACACGGCCCAGACUCCUACGGGAGUCAGCAGUGGGGAAUAUUGCACAAUGGGCGAAAGCCUGAUGCAGCCAUGCCGCGUGUGUGAAGAAGGCCUUCGGGUUGUAAAGCACUUUCAGCGGGGAGGCGUUACCCGCAGAAGAAGCACCGGCUAACUCCGUGCCAGCAGCCGCGGUAAUAC